GUCCCUUCAGCGCAAUGGAUAGCGCAUUGGACUUCUAAUCCAAAGAUCGUGGGUUAAAAUUCCACCUGGGAUG